rnacentral:rRNA from 1 species
AUGACUAGAGAUAAUCUUAGGAAGAGGCAUAUCAUUAAGCCACUUGAUUGUGUCUUUUGCACUGCUCCAGAAUCUAUCUCACACCUCUUCUUUGAUUGUGUGGUAGCUAGGCAAGUCUGGACAUGUGUCAAAAGACACUUCAGAGUAGAUGUUGGAUCCUCGUUUGAAUCUGUAGCCAGAUACUGGGUCUCAAACAACAAAACCUCUGCUAUGAACAUUGUCAAUGCUGCAGUCCUGUGGGGACUCUGGAAAACUAGAAAUUCCUUUAUUUUUGACAACCAUAUCUGGAUUUCCAUCAAACAGGUGCCGAGACUGGUUUUGAGGAUGAUCAAAACCUGGUCUGUUCUUUCCCCAUAGCAAAGUGAGAUAAGGCUAGAGGCCUUUCCUGGACAUAUGACAAGCUGCAUUCGGCGUCCUCUAACGAGCUCAUGUGGCUGA